rnacentral:lncRNA from 1 species
AGGGCUCUCAAGUACUAGAGCUAUUAGCAAAUCAAGUAGGCCUCUUAGUAUGCCCACAUCUACUCUUUUGCAUCAUAUAUUACUAUGCAAGUCAUCAUUAGCAUCCACAAAUUACUUUAGUCUAGAUGACUUAUACAAAUAAUGAAUAUAGCUCAUAUUAUUUUACCCCAACCUAAAGGUCUGUCUGCAUAUACUCUCCUUGAACUUAAGUCUAGAAUCCUGAAACCUAGGUCCUGAUACCAUUCUGCCACAUCUCAAAUAUAUCACGUAGGUCGACUAGA